rnacentral:rRNA from 1 species
CCUACGGGGGGCUGCAGUGAGGAAUAUUGGUCAAUGGGCGGGAGCCUGAACCAGCCAAGCCGCGUGAGGGAAGAAGGUACAGCGUAUCGUAAACCUCUUUUGUCAGGGAACAAAGGCGGGGACUAGUCCCCGGAUGAGGGUACCUGAAGAAAAAGCAUCGGCAAACUCCGUGCCAGCAGCCGCGGUAAUACGGAGGAUGCGAGCGUUGUCCGGAUUUAUUGGGUUAAAAGGGUGCGCAGGCGGACGGUUCAGUCAGCGGUAAAAGCCCGGGGCUCAACCCCGGCGAGCCGUUGAAACUGGGGGGCUGGAGUUGGAGAGAAGUACGCGGAAUGCGCGGUGUAGCGGUGAAAUGCUUAGAUAUCGGGCAGAACCCCGAUGGCGAAGGCAGCGUACCGGCUCCACACUGACGCUGAGGCACGAAAGCGUGGGUAGCGAACAGGAUUAGAUACCCGAGUAGUC